GACGAACGCUGGCGGCGUGCCUAAUACAUGCAAGUAGAACGCUGAAGGAGGAGCUUGCUUCUCUGGAUGAGUUGCGAACGGGUGAGUAACGCGUAGGUAACCUGCCUGGUAGCGGGGGAUAACUAUUGGAAACGAUAGCUAAUACCGCAUAAGAGUAGAUGUUGCAUGACAUUUGCUUAAAAGGUGCAAUUGCAUCACUACCAGAUGGACCUGCGUUGUAUUAGCUAGUUGGUGAGGUAACGGCUCACCAAGGCGACGAUACAUAGCCGACCUGAGAGGGGGAUCGGCCACACUGGGACUGAGACACGGCCCAGACUCCUACGGGAGGCAGCAGUAGGGAAUCUUAGGCAAUGGACGGAAGUCUGACCGAGCAACGCCGCGUGAGUGAAGAAGGUUUUCGGAUCGUAAAGCUCGGUUGUAAGAGAAGAACGAGUGUGAGAGUGGAAAGUUCACACUGUGACGGUAUCUUACCAGAAAGGGACGGCUAACUACGUG
rnacentral:rRNA from 1 species